UAAACUAUAAGAUAACAUUCAAAUUCAAAACCCUAAACAAACAUUCUACGUUAAACCCUAUGGAAGAAAGUGAAGAUGCAGUAGUGGAGAGUCAAAUUAUCAUGACUGAGCCUCAAGAUAAGGAUCAACAUCAAGAUGAUAAUGAAUCUACUCAAUAUAGUGGGGUUGAAUUGGAAAGCAGGGAAGAUUAUACAGAUCAAUUCACGCCAAGCGGGGUCUUUGAAAGUAAAGAUGCAGUUAUUGAGUGGGUUCGUGCUGUUGGAAGAAAGAACAAUAUAGUGAU